rnacentral:lncRNA from 1 species
CCAUCUAGUAGCCCUCAAGAGGAUGACUUCCUCACCAGGAGCCUGACUUUCCCGGCCGACACCACCUGUCGGGCUAAGAAGCCAACACGCAGCAGCUUCUUCUGCCCUCCGAUGGAGCAAACCUCAUCAUCACCCCAAGCAAAUCGGCUGUUUUCCUCCUCUUUCUUUCUCCCGUUCUUCAUCGAUCGGUGAACCCCGGCUGAUCUUCACCGCCGGAUGGAUCAAUGAAUGCAUGGUAACGGAAGGGGACGGCAGCAAGGGACUCGAUACGUAUUGAAUUCCUCUGCCGCGUGACUCCAGGUCCUCCCCGGUACGAGGAAGAGCACCACUGGCGCGCCAUUUGGUGCAUUCGACCUGCAAUCCAUCUCAAACGGCUGCAGAGGGUCUUCACUUAGACCCUCGUCUCUCUCUCUAUCUCUUUAUCCAACUAUGACAUUAGUUUCUAGUAGCUCAUCUGUAGCAACCAUUGCACUAAAAAUAGCUCUCUCUCUCUCUCUCUCUCUCUCUCUCUCUCUCUCUCUCUCUCUCUCUCACUCCAUCUCUUUCUUUAACUGUGCCAGCAGCCUGUAAUAGCCUAUCUCUAGCAACCAUUGCUUUAAUUAUAGCUCUCUCUCUCUAUCUAUCUAUCUAUCUCUUUCUCUAACUAUGCUAGCAGUUUGUAGUACCCUAUCUCUAGCAACCAUUGCUCUAAUUAUAGCUCUCUUUCUCUCUCUUUCUCUCUCUCUCUCUGUCUCUCUGUCCAUCUCCUUCUGUAAUUAUAGUAACAGUUGUAAUAGUAUAUAAGAGGGAUGGACUGCCAUGAAAGAGGUCUUGAUAGAAAAUUCUCAUCACAUGGUUAAAAGUGUAUGUGAAUAAGUGUACAUGUGGCAUGUGCUUAGUUCGACUCAACAUGCAUAAGAUGGGGUUACAUAUAGGGGAGUGCAUGGUGGCAUAACAUGAUACACAUGGAGUACACAAGGUAAGCUCGUGGACACACAUGGUAUAGGUAGUUAAAUAUAUUAGAGUAAGAUGAGGUUCAAGAGGGCAUCCCAUGAACCUUGCAGCGCAUUGACACAACAUGACAGAGUGUUAGCACAAUAGUAAUAUAGCAUGACAUAAGUGAGAUUUAUGUCGACUUUUCAUAUGUUAUAUGCUCAUUUAUUUAAAGUAGUGAAACCUAAUAGCCCAUGGAUGUGUCUAAGAUGGUAUGCACGUACACCAAGUAAUAGAGGUAUGCAAUACAACACCGUACACAAUGUAGAGGAUGUGGGUGGCUGAUCACGCUCAAUAAUUACAAGAUAACAUAAUUAAUAUUUCUGUGAUUUAUAUUUUAAUUUUAAUAAAAAUAGAUAUAAAUUACCUUGAGUUAGAAAAAUUAGGUUUAAACUAAUGUAUAUGAUUUUGAUGUUAAUUUCUAAGAAUUACAUGUUGAGAUUAAUAAUGAAAAUAUAUUUAUAUGUUUUAUAAAUUAUUUAUUUAUUUUUAUUAAAAUAUUUAUGCAUUAAUUUUGAUUUUAUAAGAAUGUUAAUAAAAUUUUAGAAUAGUAAAAAAAUAUAAAAUUUUGAGGUAAGUACUUAAACACUAGAAUUUUUUUAAAAAAAUAUCAAUUGAUCCUUUGGCAAGAAAUUAACCAAGUAAAUUUAAUAUCAAUUUGGAAUUAACUUAUAACUCAAUUUACUUAAUGUCUAUAACCUUUAAUGAACUAAAAUUGUAAGAACUCACUUGUUCUAUUGAUCAAAUCUCUCCCCUCGUGGUACUCUCUCUAUCAUGGAUGAAAAAGUGGGUUAUAGUUUCUAUGGAAUUGAAAAAUGAGUUACCCUUUCAAAAUAGGGCAUGAAGGCCCUUAUAACAACAAGAGUUUUGUUGGGUUAUAUUUGGGUCUCUCAUUCUCGAUAUGAUGAGUCCGACACUUAACCUACACAUAGCACAUAUGGAAUAGGAAUGUAAAUAUAAACUAAGGACAACAAUAAAUAAAUCAAUAACAAAUUUUAACACUCUUCGUCAAGCUAGUGAAUGAAUAUUCUCCAUUUUUAGCUUGCUAAUCAUCUUCAAUAGAGUUAGUAUGUGGAGUUCCUUGGUGAGGAUAUCAACUUGUUGUUCAUGAGAGGAUAAUAUGGUGUGCUACUUGUGAUGCCGUCAAUUUUUUUAAUAAAAUACAUGUUGACUCUAAUGUGCUUGAUGUGAUCAUAUUACAUUGGGUUCUUUGUUUAUCUCUAUAGUUGAUUUUUAUCACAAUGCAAUAAAAAAGACUUGACAUAAUCAAUUUGAAGAUUAGAUUAGAUACUUCAAAUCUACAGUACUUCUUAUAUACCUUAUGUUAUCCCUAAAUUAUGUAAGGACUGAUGGCUUUGCGUUGUGCCAAGUGAUCAAUUUUUUUCUCAAGAACACAUAGUAUUCUAAAGUUGAUUUUUGAUCAAGUGUACAGUCAACACAAUUAGUGUCAACAUAUAUAUCGAGGGUUAAUUGCGCAUUCCUAAUAAACAUAAUAUCUAAACUGAUUUUUCUCUUCAGAUAUUGCAACACUCUAUAUGUCAAAUUCAUAUGGAUCUCCCUCAAAUCAUGUAAAUAUUGAUUAGGAGUGCCAAUAAUAAAAGAGAGGUAUAGUCGCAUAUGUGCCCACUAAUCUAUGUUACUAUCUUUUUCAAUUGGUGCACUAUCUUUAAAGGUGUUAUAUUUCAUCUCUGGAUUAAUGUGGGUAGCCGAUAGUUUUCACCAUAGUAUUCAUGUUUCAUUAAGUGAAACUAUGAUAUACUUGUGUUGAGUUGUAGAUCUCAAAGUGUGUUAUUUUGAUCCUAAGGAAAUAAUGUAGUUGUCCCACUAACUUGAUUUCAAAUGUUGUCCUCAACUAUUUUGUAAGUAAUGAGAUCUCUAUGACAUCAAUGUUUGAUACAAUCAUAUUAUUAACAUAGACUAUGAUAUUAAUAAUACAUUGUGUGGUGUGUUUGAAGAACAAUGAGUGAUUUGCAUUAUUUUAUUGAUAAUUCAACCUUCUCAUUGUUUGUGUAAGCCUCCCAAAUUAUAAUAUUGGAGAUUUUUUUAAUCCAUUAAGUGUCUUCUUUAACUUACACACUAAGAAAAGGUUAGUAGUUGUGUUAAAACUUGGUGAAAUAUUUAUAUAAAUCUCUUUUUUGAGAUUCUAAUGUAAGAAAGUAUUAUUCAUAUCUAAUUGAUGUAAGGGGCAUCUAUUUAUAAUUACAAUAAUGAUUAUUAUAUGGGCAUUAUUCAAUUUUGUUACAAGUGUAAAUUCUUAGAAUAAUCUACUCUUUUACCACUAAUCCAAUUUAUACCUUUCAAUUAAACCAUAUUAUUUGUACAUAAUAGUGAAUACUUGCUUGCCUUUUGAUAAUGUAAUUAUCUCCCAUGUAUUAUUCUUCUUCAAUGUCUCUCUUUCUUGUUGUGUGAAUGUCUUUCAUACUUUUGAUGCAAAAGCUUCAUUAGUGGUUUUCAAAAUUACAACUUCUUCUAGUUUGUCCAGAAAACUUUUAUAUUCUAAGGAUAAUGAUGAUAAGACAAAUAAUUAAUAAUAGAGACUUAUUGAUACAAUCACGUAUCUUUUUCUUAAGAACAUUCCACCUAUCCUCUAAAGCUCUUUCAUUUACUUGACUCAAAAUGUAUAGUGAAGUAGGCACAUUGAUUGUCAUCGGUUCAUCUAUAGGUAUCCUAAUAUGAUCUAUAAGGUUUGGAGAUAAAAUAUCAUCCAUUUAUAGAAUUUUUUACUUACGCCUUAUAUAUACAUGUUGUUGAUGCCUUUGGGCAUGUAUUUUGAUAUUAAAAUUAAAUGAAAAAAUAUAUAAUUAAUACUUAAUAUUUUUACAAGAUUAUCAUAAAUGACUCAUAAAUUUUAUAUAAUAAACUCUAUUAUUUAUCUUGUGACAUUAUGCUCAACCUAUUGAUCUAAAGGGUUAAGUCUUGAGAUUAAGUGAAUUGAUGAAUAGGUGAAGUGUCACAUUUAUAUAGAUAAAUAUUAGUUAGAAAAAAAAUAUUUAUAAGUAAAUUAAUGAUUAUAUUUUAAAUUUAUUUAUCUAUGAUUAUUUGACCAUUUAAGAGUAACUCUUUAUUUAUUAGUCACGUGCAUCAUUAAAAUAAAAUAAAAAUAGUUUGAAAUAUUAAAUGAACUCUUGUGAAUCCUAUGAGAAGAUAAAAAAAAACCAAAUUCAACUUCACUUAAGAUAACUAAAGUAUGGUUGAGCAAUUAGCAUGUUUUAAUUAAUACAAUUCUUAUUUGUUCAUUAGGAGCUAAUUUAACCUAUAGGAUAUAUGACAUUUUAUCCUUCCUUUUUAUUGAUCUUCUUAGUUGGGAUUAAUAAUGUUUUUCUAACUCAAGAUCACUAGUAUAGGUUCAAAAAAAAUAACUAUGGUUCCCACCUUGAUCCUCCCUUUUGUUUAUAAUUUGACAUGAGUUAAAUUAAUUAAGAUAAUGGAGUACGUCUUAUGCUAACAUAAACUUUAGAGCAUCAUGAAAAAUAACCUUAUGUCAAUUUAAUAUCAUAGCAUUACUUUCAAUCUAGUCACUACUUUCAUGUUUUUUUAUUUAUUGAAGUAGAAUUGAGAGAGUAAGAUGACAAGUGGUACUAACAAGUAUGACCCACAUAUGGUCCAACUAUAAGAGGGGAAUGGAGAGAAGGAUGUGCUCAUUGAAUGUCUAGUGGGUUAUGUGCAAGUGAUGAAGACUCAAUUUUAAGUGAAAUGUGAGUUCAUAAUAGAAGAUAUUAAGUUUCUAAGACAAAUGUGUUAGAACCUCACAAUAAAGACCAAAAUAACAACAAAACCCAUAAUAGUAAUAUAAGAAAAUAAUUAAAAAAAUUGAGAAAUAAAUUCUGCUAAUAUAGAUAAAGGAAUAUAACACAAAGGAUUUCUAGAGAAAACUCAAUAAGAGUUGGGGAUGAAUUAUAGAGUAUCUCACUCUCCUAUUGACUCUUAAAAGUGUCAUUGUAGAGAAGGCUUUGAGGGUUUUUAUAAACUUAGUCCUUGAGUAUGUGGCCCACUUGUCCUCAAUCAUCUCUUACAUUACUAUCCAUGUUAUGGUAGUAAGUAAUUCUAAAAUGAGCUUGGGUAAUGAGUCCUUGUGCAAGCUUAUAAGCCAUCUAAUCAUUGGUGAGCUUCUAACACAACUUUAACUUGCAUAGUCCAUUGCAAGUCCUUAUUAAUGAUUGGUGUGAGAGGUAAGCUAUAAAUAUUAAUGACUAAUGGUUUUUUGAGUUGAGAUACAUGAAAAGUUGAGUGUAUUUUUUAUUUCAAUUAGAAGUUUUAGUUCUUAGGCGAAACUAAAGUAUCUAUGAGAAAAUUUUUAGCUCUAUCUUUAGGCUAAGGACAACAUUCUACAAAAUUGAAACUUAAGGAAAAUUAAAUUGUAUGAGUUAAACUCAAUAUCUCUUUUAUGUCAAUCUACUUAGGCCUUCAUUCAUACUUGAGAUUGAAUGAAGUGUUGCUUAAACUUAUCUAAGAUAAACUUUUAUGUUGAACCUGAUCUUCUAUAGUUGUUAUUCGAAUGUAUAGGUCAUGAGCUUAAAUAAUCAAUGAAAGAUCAUGUUUGUAAAUUAUCCUAUAUGAUGUGCUAUUAAAAAUGUCAAGUUAUAUUAAAAGUUAGCCCAAGGUAACCACUUUCUCUAUGGGUUUAUCAUAUCAAAAUAGUGGAGAUAAAAAAAUUUAUAUGUAUAAAGUCCUUUUGUUUGGCCCUCAAUUUGAAGAGGGAUAGUGGUGCUCUUCUUGAGGUUUGUGAUGAGAGACAAAUAAUUCAAUUUAUAAAAUGUUGAUAAAGAUUUUAUCACAAUCAAAUAUGAUAGAUUUCAAAAUGUUAUGAUGUUUGACCAUAGAGUAAUAAAUUUCUUUGUAACAAUGGUUAUAGGGAAAGUGUUUUAAUGAGAUUAAAUAAUUAUACCUAAACUUAUCUACAACCUUAAGAAUAACUCAAAAUCCUUGUGUUAAGUAGGUCUUCUAUAAAAUCAGUUAAAUUUCUUUGUAACAAUGGUUAUAGGGAAAGUGUUUUAAUGAGAUUAAAUAAUUAUACCUAAACUUAUCUACAACCUUAAGAAUAACUCAAAAUCCUUGUGUUAAGUAGGUCUUCUAUAAAAUCAGUAUUAAUAUUAUCUCAUAUUUGAUUUAGUAUGAGGAGUCAAUGAAGUAGACCAACAAGCAUAACGAUUUCAUACUUAUUAUGUUAACAUGUUUAGUAUUGAAUAUAAUCUUGUAUAAUCUAAUAUAACCCAUGUUAAUAAUAUUCUUGUCUAAUAUGUUUUUAGUAAUGUAAGACACUUAAGUAAACUUCUACAACAUUAUCAUGGUAAGCAUGUAGGAUUUUGGAGAUAAUACAUGCUAUGAACAAAAGAGUAAUUCAUCUGUAGUUGUUAUUCGUCAAAUAUGUUAAGGACAACACUAAUUGAAGCAUGCAUCAAUAAUGAUGGAGGUAAUUUAGAUAAGACAUUUGCUACCUUAAUCUUUACUCUUACUUUGCAAUUGAAAAUAAAAUCAAAUAAUAUAGUCUUCACUAACUAUUUU